rnacentral:rRNA from 1 species
CCUACGGGAGGCAGCAGUGGGGGAUAUUGCACAAUGGGGGGAACCCUGAUGCAGCGACGCCGCGUGGGUGAAGAAGGGCCUCGGCGCGUAAAGCCCUGUCAGCAGGGAAGAAAAUGACGGUACCUGAAGAAGAAGCCACGGCUAACUACGUGCCAGCAGCCGCGGUAAGACGGAGGGGGCAAGCGUUCUCCGGAUUUACUGGGUGUAAAGGGGGCGCAGACGGCGCUGCAAGCCAGGCGUGAAAGCCCGGGGCCCAACCCCGGGACUGCGCUUGGAACUGCGUGGCUGGAGGGCAGGAGGGGCAGGCGGAAUUCCUGGUGUAGCGGUGACAUGCGUCGAUAUCAGGAGGAACUCCGGUGGCGAAGGCGGCCUGCUGGACUGCAACUGCCGUUGAGGCCCGAAUGCGUGGGGAGCAAACAGGAUUAGAUACCCUUGUAGUC